rnacentral:rRNA from 1 species
AGUGAACGCUGGCGGCAUGCCUUACACAUGCAAGUCGAACGGCAGCACAGUUGCUUGCACCUGUUGGCGAGUGGCGGACGGGUGAGGAAUACAUCGGAACAUGUCCUGUAGUUGUGGAUAGGCCGGCGAAAGCCGGAUUAAUACCGCAUACGCUCUACGGCUGAGAGCGAAGGACCUUCGUCCCCCGCGCUUUCGGGUUGGACGAUGGCGGAUUAGCUAGUUGGUGGGGUAAAGGCCUACCAAGGCGACGAUCAGUAGCUGGUCUGAGAGGACGAGCAGCCACACUGGGACUGAGACACGGCCCAGACUCCUACGGGAGGCAGCAGUGGGGAAUUUUGGACAAUGGGCGAAAGCCUGAUCCAGCAAUGCCGCGUGUGUGAAGAAGGCCUUCGGGUUGUAAAGCACUUUUGUCCGGAAAGAAAUCCUUGGCCCUAAUACGGUCGGGGGAUGACGGUACCGGAAGAAUAAGCACCGGCUAACUACGUG